AACGAACGCUGGCGGCAGGCUUAACACAUGCAAGUCGAACGGUUGUAGCAAUACAGCAGUGGCAGACGGGUGAGUAACACGUGGGAACCUUCCUAGGGGUACGGAACAACUCAGGGAAACUUGAGCUAAUACCGUAUACGUCCGUGAGGAGAAAGUUUUAACGCCCCUAGACGGGCCCGCGUAGGAUUAGGUAGUUGGUGAGGUAACGGCUCACCAAGCCUACGAUCCUUAGCUGAUCUGAGAGGANGAUCAGCCACACUGGGACUGAGACACGGCCCAGACUCCUACGGGAGGCAGCAGUGGGGAAUCUUGGACAAUGGGCGGCAAGCCUGAUCCAGCCAUGCCGCGUGAGUGAAGAAGGCC
rnacentral:rRNA from 1 species